GAUGAACGCUGGCGGCGUGCCUAAUACAUGCAAGUCGAGCGAACAGAUAAGGAGCUUGCUCCUUUGACGUUAGCGGCGGACGGGUGAGUAACACGUGGGUAACCUACCUAUAAGACUGGGAUAACUUCGGGAAACCGGAGCUAAUACCGGAUAACAUUUGGAACCGCAUGGUUCUAAAGUGAAAGAUGGUUUUGCUAUCACUUAUAGAUGGACCCGCGCCGUAUUAGCUAGUUGGUAAGGUAACGGCUUACCAAGGCGACGAUACGUAGCCGACCUGAGAGGGUGAUCGGCCACACUGGAACUGAGACACGGUCCAGACUCCUACGGGAGGCAGCAGUAGGGAAUCUUCCGCAAUGGGCGAAAGCCUGACGGAGCAACGCCGCGUGAGUGAUGAAGGGUUUCGGCUCGUAAAACUCUGUUAUUAGGGAAGAACAAAGGUGUAAGUAACUGUGCACGUAUUGACGGUACCUAAUCAGAAAGCCACGGCUAACUACGUG
rnacentral:rRNA from 1 species